ACCUCAUCAACCGGAAGGAAUACCCUUCCGGUUGAUGAGGUUGUUACACCUCAUCAAUUGGAAGGAAUCCCUUCUGGUCCUCAUCGAUCAGAAGGCAUUCCUUCCGAUCAAUGAGGUGUAACAACCUCAUCGACCAGAAGGGAUUCCUUCCAGUCAAUGAGGU
rnacentral:miRNA from 1 species